rnacentral:rRNA from 1 species
AGAGUUUGAUCCUGGCUCAGAACGAACGCUGGCGGCGUGGAUAAGACAUGCAAGUCGAGCGCUGAUUGCGAGGUAGCAAUAUUUCGCAGUCGGAGCGGCGCAAGGGUGCGUAACACGUGGGUAAUCUGCCAUGAAGUUCGGGACAACUUGCUGAAAGGCAAGCUAAUACCGAAUGUGACAAUUGAGAGGCAUCUUCCGAUUGUCAAAGCUGGGGACCGUAAGGCCUGGCGCUUCUUGAUGAGCCCGCGGCCUAUCAGCUAGUUGGUGAGGUAACGGCUCACCAAGGCUAAGACGGGUAGCUGGUCUGAGAGGACGACCAGCCACACUGGAACUGAGACACGGUCCAGACACCUACGGGUGGCAGCAGUCGAGAAUUUUUCACAAUGGGCGCAAGCCUGAUGGAGCGACGCCGCGUGGGGGAUGAAUGGCUUCGGCCCGUAAACCCCUGUCAUUUGCGAUCAAACCUUAUUAUUUAAAAGAUGAUAAGCUGAUAGUAGCGAAAGAGGAAGGGACGGCUAACUCUGUGCCAGCAGCCGCGGUAAUACAGAGGUCCCAAGCGUUGUUCGGAUUCACUGGGCGUAAAGGGUGCGUAGGUGGUGAGGUAAGUCGGAUGUGAAAUCUCGGAGCUUAACUCCGAAACGGCAUUGGAAACUACCUUGCUCGAGGGUUGGAGGGGGGACUGGAAUUCUCGGUGUAGCAGUGAAAUGCGUAGAUAUCGAGAGGAACACCAGUGGCGAAGGCGAGUCCCUGGACAACUCCUGACACUGAGGCACGAAAGCUAGGGGAGCAAACAGGAUUAGAUACCCUAGUAGUCC